UGAAGCAACUGAUUUAUGCAGGCAACUGAAUGGAUUAAAGCUCGAAAGCUCAUACCUGGAUGGUUUUUGUCACACCAAAAUGAAGUAUAAGAAAACCUUAUAAAAGAAGAUACAUACCUGUCUGGGCGUCCUUGCUAUCGUCGUUUCCAACCCGUCCGCAGGGUCUGCCACUCUUGGGUGCCCUUUUGGGUAAUGGUCUAGCUGUUUCCUUGCAUCCAUGCUGCUGCAGGGUUGUAGUCGUACCCGUGGCCAUGGUUAUCACUCAUCAACUUGGUCGUGCUCAUGUGGACUAUUUAUUUCCAACAAUGCCAUCAAACCAUCAGAGGUUCCUCACCGGUUUCCUUUUGCUGCACCUUUGUUUGGUUGCUCUAGGGUGAGAGGACCUCUCUGCGUCUGUAUGCUGAUUUGGUCAUGGAAUUCGAGCCUCAUUUACUGCACCUCUGGUUUGUGUAUUUUCAUGGAAUGCCACUCUCAAAUUAGUUUAGCUUUGUCCACACAUAUUAUGAUGUUUUGUGUCUAUUGCUGCCUUUGGCAUAUUUAAUCAUCUAUGUGUCUGCCAUGAAUUUAACAUGAAUAUAUUCCUGUUUUUUGUUACUUCUCUUGGCUUGGAUCACUAUGUUUGUUCUUCCUUUGCCUUUCAAUACAUCAAGGUGAGCUUCACACAUCGUUCCCUCUUUUAUUAUAUUCAGGCAAUGAAGGAUCAGUACACGCCCAAUCUUCUGUGGCCUCCUCUCAUAAGAACUUCUACAUCGCUGUAUGAAAAUAGCUUUUCUUUGUCCAUGUGAUUAUUUGGGGAUUUUUGCCCAUAAAAAUAGCUUCUGAUGCCAAUACCGAGAUGUUAUUGAUGCAUGGUUGGAUUGGAUAUUCACAGAACUUUAUACCAUAUACUUUGGGCAUUGCUGAAACAACUGAAUGUCAAAGGUGCUUAUGGGUUGUCCUACAAUUUGUGUGGAUGUAUUUAGCUGUGGCGUUUAUGGUAGCUGCAGCAGCUUGUCAAUUAGUUCUUAGUCAAGGACAGGCACCAAUACAUGCUACCACUUAAUUCAGGUCAUGGUACCACUUAAUUCAGGCCAUUGUACCUGCAACGUCCGGUCUUCAUGGGAAUGCGUACCGCCGUCGAAUCCUAUUGACCCGCACUCGAUCCCGACCCUCGAUUGGGGUCGAUGAACCCGGUACACGGGACACGGCGUCGACCCGCGUUCCCGGCUACUAUGGUCUUAACGCGAGGAGGUGCCGAGAUACACGAGGGGUUGGAGCAGGACUGCAAGAGGAGUUGAGGACAUGUUUUGUUUUAGAUCCACCUGAUUAGUCCCAAGUUUUUGCAAGGUCUGCUUCUUAUGCAGAGGUUUCUUUUGAUGGGCAGCCUAGCCAAUUAAUUAUGUUUGGAUCACUCUGGGCAAUUCUCUCUGGAGUUGAGAGUACUCUGAGCACUGCCCAUAGCGUGCCACGACGACCGUUUGCACUAUAGGAGCCUCGCGACACAGGUCAUCUCUCUCCUUUCUCCUCCUCCAGCUUCCCUCCCUUUAGGUCUCAUUGUAGCUUUUAUGUGCGAG